UACGUAGGGUGCGAGCGUUGUCCGGAAUUAUUGGGCGUAAAGAGCUCGUAGGCGGUCUGUCGCGUCGAAUGUGAAAACCCGGGGCUCAACUCCGGGCUUGCAUUCGAUACGGGCAGGCUAGAGUUCGGUAGGGGAGUCUGGAAUUCCUGGUGUAGCGGUGAAAUGCGCAGAUAUCAGGAGGAACACCGGUGGCGAAGGCGGGACUCUGGGCCGAUACUGACGCUGAGGCACGAAAGCGUGGGGAGCAAACAGG
rnacentral:rRNA from 1 species